rnacentral:rRNA from 1 species
UACGUAGGCAGCAAGCGUUGUUCGGAAUUACUGGGCGUAAAGGGUGUGUAGGCGGUUCUUUAAGUUUGGUGUGAAAUCUCCCGGCUCAACCGGGAGGGUGCGCCGAAUACUGAGGGACUAGAGUGUGGGAGAGGAAAGUGGAAUUCCUGGUGUAGCGGUGAAAUGCGUAGAUAUCAGGAGGAACACCGGUGGUGUAGACGGCUUUCUGGACCAUAACUGACGCUGAGACACGAAAGCGUGGGUAGCAAACAGG